rnacentral:rRNA from 1 species
AACGAACGCUGGCGGCAUGCCUAACACAUGCAAGUCGAACGAGACCUUCGGGUCUAGUGGCGCACGGGUGCGUAACGCGUGGGAACCUGCCCUUAGGUUCGGAAUAACUCCCCGAAAGGGGUGCUAAUACCGGAUAAUGUCUUCGGACCAAAGAUUUAUCGCCUUUGGAUGGGCCCGCGUUGGAUUAGCUAGUUGGUAGGGUAAAAGCCUACCAAGGCGACGAUCCAUAGCUGGUCGGAGAGGAUGAUCAGCCACACUGGGACUGAGACACGGCCCAGACUCCUACGGGAGGCAGCAGUGGGGAAUAUUGGACAAUGGGCGAAAGCCUGAUCCAGCAAUGCCGCGUGAGUGAUGAAGGCCUUAGGGUUGUAAAGCUCUUUUACCCGGGAUGAUAAUGACAGUACCGGGAGAAUAAGCUCCGGCUAACUCCGUG